UCUUGCAGACUGUUACUGUGACAUGUGAGGAGGUGGAUGCAAGCUUUAGGCAAAGAUCUAAUGCUCCACCAGUACGCCCCCUCAUAUGUCCGGUACCUGCCCGGGUUACCAGACGACCCAUGGCCGCUCGUCCGCCGGUCCGGUCCUCAGAGGACAUCUGUUCAGCUCAGCCUGAGACUGGGUCCGCCGGUGCGACUGGCAGAGGUCCGCCAGAGGGCCGGCAGAGGGCAUGUCCCGGUCGCGCCCG